GGCUUUAUCAGUUUUAUAAAUGAACGGGAAAAUAGCUUUGUCAGGCAAGGAUGCGAGCGUGGAGAGGAACCAGUGAGGCAGAGAAAGAAGGCACCCUUGAAGCGAGAUAAGUCCUUGUAUCAAGCUUUCUCUGAAUAACUCUCUCUCUCACUCCACUGAAUCUUCUAUCCCGAAUGCAACAUAGAUUUUUUAGGAAGCUUGACCAAGAAAGCAUGCAUCAAAAUAUGUUUUCUUAUGGGCAAUUCAAAUUUUUUGUCGUUCAGUUCUGGAUUCUCUUAUGGGCAACUUUUUUUGUGGGAGUAAUUCAUUGGUGGUGAGUCUGGAAAUUAAACUUUUGGACACGAAUAUUUUCUCAUUUGGUUUAUAUGCUUCUCCCUCCCUCUCUGCAUUUCAGUUUCCUUUUAUUCUUUGGCAGCUUUUCAUUUUGCUUGCUUACCCAUGGCCAUCAACAUUUCUUGAAAUUUCAAUCAUCUUUAUCUUUGGCUUGAACUACCACAUUCUUACUGCGUUUUCUUUUCUUUUCUUCUCUCUCUGUUUUUUGUAAAAUCGUACUUUGUUAACUUCAUUGAUCUCACAAGAUUCUGGCAACUUGGCGAAGUAUUGCCUUUUCUUUAGAGCAUUUGUGCUUGCUCUCACAAGAUUCUAAGCAACUAAAUAAUCAGCAUAAUCAUGUAAAAGCUAUUCUUCUAGAUAAGUAUAUGAUGAUUAUGUAUCUUGAUCAUUGUCAAGUGCUUAAGACCGGAAAUUUUCCAACACAGGCAAAUGAAUUUUCUGAUGUGGAAUAUACUUUGUUUCAGACUAAUGCUUAUGUAAAGGUGGAGGCAGCAAUUGCUGGAAAAUUUUCAACACAGGCAAAUGGAGGUAGCAAAAGCUUGUGUCAUGUUUCUCUAUCAAAUCUGGCUUUAGUUUGGUGGCAAUAUAUUUGGAAUCUGCUCAGCCUUCAAUCUACGUGCUGCAAGAACAAAUGGAAGUAGAAAGCAUAGAAGAUCUGUGGUGAGACGAGUUGAUAGAGGACAUUGAACAAAAGGUUGUGGUUGAGGGAAUCGGAAUAUAUAGGAAAGAAUUGAUUGGAAAUACUGUUUGCUGAAACACGAUUAUGUGAUUUUUCUUUACCUUUACUUUCAAUUUCAAUUAAUUUUGUUGUGUGGGAUUU